rnacentral:rRNA from 1 species
CUACGGGGUGCUGCAGUGAGGAAUAUUGCACAAUGGGGGGAACCCUGAUGCAGCAACGCCGCGCGGAGGAUGACGCAUUUCGGUGUGUAAACUCCUUUUAUAUGUCAAGAAAAUGACGGUAGCAUAUGAAUAAGCACCGGCUAACUCCAUGCCAGCAGCCGCGGUAAUACGGAGGGUGCAAGCGUUACUCGGAAUCACUGGGCGUAAAGGACGCGUAGGCGGGUUGGAAAGUCAGGUGUGAAAUCCUACAGCUUAACUGUAGAACUGCACUUGAAACUUCUAAUCUAGAGUAUGGGAGGGGGAGAUGGAAUUAGUGGUGUAGGGGUAAAAUCCGUAGAUAUCACUAGGAAUACCUAAAGCGAAGGCGAUCUCCUGGAACAUUACUGACGCUAAGGCGUGAAAGCGUGGGGAGCAAACAGGAUUAGAUACCCCAGUAGUC